rnacentral:rRNA from 1 species
AGACCCGUGGCGUAUAGCUCAGUAACACGUGGCCAAACUACCCUAUAGACCAUGAUAACCUCGGGAAACUGAGGCUAAUCGUGGAUAUCGCAUUCAUGCUUGAAUUGCCGAAUGCGAGAAACGUUCCGGCGCUAUAGGAUGUGGCUGCGGCCGAUUAGGUAGACGGUGGGGUAACGGCCCACCGUGCCAGUAAUCGGUACG